GUAUAAGAAAUAGAGAUGGCCGGGUGCGGUGGCUCACGCCUGUAAUCUCAGCACUUUGGGAGGCUGAGGCAGAUGGAUCACACGGUCAGGAGUUUGAGACCAGCCUGGCCAACAUGGUGAAACCCUGUCUCUACUAAAAAUACAAAAGGCAAUAAGAGGUUCUAUGUGGACUUUGAAGGUCGUCUCUAUCAAUUUGAGGUUGGAAAGAACAGUUUUGUUGACAUCCUUUAGCUGUGUUACAAGUACAAUUUUGUUUUUUACUCAGGCAAAAGAAAAUGUGUGUGUGUGUUAAAUACAGUCAGCCCUCUUUAUCUGUGGGUCCUGCAUCCUUGCUUUCUACCAACCUCAGAUCAAAAAUAUUCCAGAAAAAAAAGGAUGGUUGCAUCUGUACUGAAUAUGUACAAGCUUUUUUUCUUGUCAUUCUUUAUGCAAUAAAGUAUAACAACCAUUUACGUUGCAUUUCCAUUGUAUUAGGUAUUGUGGGUAAUCUAGAGAUGAUUUGAAGGAUAUUGGAGGGUGUGUCCAGGCUGCAGGCAAGUACUAUGGCAUUUUAUGUCAGGGACACCUACAGAUUUUUGUCUCCAGCCAUGGUUCCUGUAUAGUUUAACAUUUCCACACGCUGAGGGUGUGAUGGGUCUGAGUUGGGUUGGUCCCCCAUGUUUGAGGAAGUGUGCCCAUCAUGAUUGUACACCCUUGUUGUAAACUUCGGAUAUGUCUAUUUUGAUAUUUAAAACAUUUUCAGGUUAAGUCUGAAAAAUGCCAAGAUAGUAACAAUAUUUUAAAAGGGAAUUCAGAAGUAUUACUAUAAUAAUAGAACUCAUUAUUAGAACAUUCUAAUAGUAGAAAAGGAAGUCUAUUUAUUUUAUAAAAUUGUCAGUUCAGCUUAAGAUCUAAUAGUCUUUUCCAAUUAGCAGCAACUUAAUUGAGACUACCUCAAAAGAAGAAUUUAACAUUUAUUUUUGUAGAAAAAAAGCAAUUUUAAAAUAGCCUGGGAAAACUUAGGUAAGUUUUCCUUAAUCCUGACUCCUAAUUUGUGGCUAGAAGUGGCAAUGAUAUGAACAUAAGUUGUGCUAUUUGUUAAUAUAUUGCUUUUCAUAAAUCAAUCCCUUUUUUGUAAUUAGGUAAAAAGAGAAGAGAAAGACAUUCUUGAUUUUGGUGACUAGAGUUGUAGAUGCUGGAAGCUUUGCCACUAACAUUGAUGAACCAGAUGCAUGUCACCAGCCCAUCACGGGCACCAUGGGCCCGGCACUGCCACGUUUUCCAAGGAACCUGCCGGAGCUCCUGCGGAAGCUGCUCCUCAGGCGAUGGAGUCCCUUCGCUGGUAGGCCCUUCUUCAGUCACCACAGGAUGCCUGCCAUUCAUGAACAAGAAGGAGAGGACGGGCUUUGAAUAAAAAACAGGAUCCAGGAAAUAUUUGUGAGGCCAUUUGGACUUCAGUGUGAAAUGGUGUUAAAAGAUGAAGUCAUUUAUUCAAGAAGUAAACCUCUGCCACCUGGACUGUGCGCAGACAUUUCAUUGAUUUUGUUUAAUAAACAUUUUCUGGCUUUGGGAGGUGUCUCUCUUGGUAGAACACAGUGUCAAAGAUGGACAAGAUGGACACAUAGUCCAUUAUUUGGUAUUGUUUGUGUAUGGGAGCAGACCACAAAUUAAUGUUUGGAGAACAAUUUUGUCAUAACACACUGUUGAGGCUCAGUUGUACAGAACUGGAAAAGUCUUCAGCUUGGCACAUGUCCUGAUUCAGCCUUUGUUUAACAUAUAUUCCAAUCCGGAUUCUAUCUUCACUGGCUACAAAGACCACCUGAUACGUGCACCACGACACAGGAGCUGCUGGAGAGGGGGUAGUGUUAUCACCUCAAACCCACAGCCAUAUUUUUCAAAAGCCAGCUUAGAGAGAGGUGUACUGAUAGCUGCAUAGAGAACAUGCAGUCCAUCCAUUCUUCCCAGUGAUGUACAUUUCUCAAUCAGUAACCACGUGGUAUACCAGCCUUGAGUGUCACAUCUCCCAACCAUACCAAAUGGAUCACCUAACUGGAGGUGGGGGGGGCCCUCAGAAAUGAGAUUUCGUAUUUACUGUAAAAUUGCCUUAUUUUUUCUUUUGAGGUGGAGUCUCACUCUGUUGCCUGGGCUGGAGUGCAAUGGUGUGAUCACUGCUCACUGCAACCUCCGCCUCCUGGGUUCAAGCAGUUCUCCUGCCUCAGCCUCCCAAGUAGCUGCAAUUACAGGUGCAUGCCACCACUCCCAGCAAAUUUUUAUAUUUUUAGUGGAGACAGGGUUUCACCAUGUUGACCAGGCUGGUCUCAAACUCCUGACCUCAGGUGAUCUGCCCACCUUGGCCUCCCAAAGUUCUGGGAUUAAAGGUACGAGCCACCGCAACUGGCUGAGAAUCUUUUUAUUUGCUGAUUUGUCUCUUGUGUAUUUUCUUUGUUCAGAUGUCUCUUCAGAUCUUUUUCUCACUUUUAAAUUGUUUUUUAAUUGUUAAGAAUUUUCUGUCUAGUUUAGAUAUAAGCCCUUUAUCAGACAUGUGUUUUGCAAAUAUUUUCUCCUAGUCUGUGGCUUGUAUUCUGUCUCUUAACACUCAUUUUAUUUUUACUUUUGGAACUAAAGAAGAAGAAUGGUCAGCUUUCCAUUAUUCUUGUAACAGUAAUGGCAGAACCAAGUCUGCUAAUGCUACACUGAGCAAAGAAAGUCACCUGGUGAAGUCCAACAUUAAUGAAAUGGGGUAGUACAUGCAGGCAGCGUUGGGGGUGGGGAGGGAACAAAUGCUUCUUGAGAGUAAUAUAAUCUGCCAUACCAUCCAGGAACCUACAAUGGCUAUCUAUUACCUUAUUCUCUGGUUUGUUUAAUGUUCGAAUCUUUCCGAAAGAUCCUUCAACCUUUCUGGAAGAAUCUAAUCUGAUAACACCAUCAAAAACACAUUACUUCUUUUGGCAUAAUUUAAAUUGUAAGACAUCAUUCACAUUUAUCAAUGUUACAUAUAUAAGAACUCACCCACCAUAUUCUUCCUUGAGGAAUUACAGCAUGUAAUUCUAUAAUCAUUUUUAUAAUCGUCUAACAAUUUUAUAAUGGAUUGGUUGCUUACUAUCAAUUUUUUAAAAGUCAUGGCUUCUCCAGUCAUUUCUUGCUUAUCGAAAUUAUUUCAUGAGAUGGGUCUCUCCUUGUAUAUUUGAAAAUGAGGUUUGCUUCCUUCUACUUAAAAAACAACUUGAACAUACCUGUUUGGAUCACAUGGUCUUGUCCUGAUAACUUGGAAGAGGUUGCUUCAGCAUUGUUCUUAUUGUUGUGGUGGUUAUUAUUAAUAUUGUUUCAUAUUCUGUUUAAAAAAUUAAAAUUUUACACAAGACCAAUGUCUUCUUUUCAAUUCCAGUACAUUUUUCAGAAGUAACUAAUGCUAUUGGCUUUGUGCAUUGUAAUUUCAGACCAUUUUAUAUGUCUUUAGUUAUAUGUACAGUAUACACACAUAUGUGUCAUAUUAUUCCAUUUUUUCUAGCAUUAAACAUUGCUAUGGAAAACUCUCGGAAAAAUAUUUAUUUGAACAGAACUUUUUCUUUUCUCAGAUGUACCCUCCUUAGGAAUCUUUCUUUGAUCCUUGAAGUUUGGUAACAACUUUAAAUAUGUGUAUCCCAGCUGGGAGCAGCGGCUCACACCUGUAAUUUCAGCACUUUGGGAGGCCGAGGAGGGUGGAUCACCUGAGGUCAGGAGUUUGCCUGGCCAACAUGGUGAAACCCCGUCUUUACUGAAAAUACAAAAAGUUAGCCAGGUGUGGUGGCUGGCACCUGUAAUCCCAGCUACAUGGGAGGCUGAGGCAGGAGAAUCGCUUGAACCUAUAGAGACAAGGUUUCACCAUGUUGACCAGGCUGGUCUCGAACUCCUGACCUCAGGUGAUCCACCCACCUCAGCCUCCCAAAAUGCUGGGAUUACAGGCAUGAGCCAUUGCACCCAGCCAUACAGGAGCAAGUUUAAAAAUUAAAUAUUUAUUUGAAUAACAAGCUUACAUUGGAGCUGCAAUGUUGGCAAUCCAGAUUUUGAACACGGAUCACAAAAAGCAUGCAUAAAAUCCUACUGGCCCAGAGAACAAAACACUGCUCAGAAUUAAGCGAAAUAGCUGCUACUGUUAAGAAAACAGGCCUGAAAUCAAUAUACAAGAUUUUAAAAAAUGUAUUGGCCGGAUGCAGUGGCUCAUUCCUGUAAUUCCAGAACUUUGGGAGGCCAAGACAGGAGAAUCACCUGAGGUCAGGAGUUCAAGACCAGCCUGGCCAACAUGGUGAAACUCCAUCUCUACUAAAAAUAAAAAAUUAGCUGGGUGUGGUGACACAUGCCUGUAGUCCCAGCUACCUGGGAGGCUGAGGCAGAAUAAUUUCUCGAACCCAGGAGGAGGAGGUUUGCAAUGGCAUGAUCUCUGCUCACCGCAACCUCCGCCUCCCGGGUUCAAGCAAUUCUCCUACUUCAGCCUCCCGAGUAGCUGGGAUUACAGGCAUGUGCCACCAUGCCUGGCUACUUUUCUGUAUUUUUAGUAGAGACAGAGUUUCUCCAUGUUGGUCAGGCUGGUCUUGAACUCACAACCUCCGGUGAUCUGCCUGCCUCGGCCUCCCAUAGUGCUGGGAUUACAGGCAUGAGCCACCAUGCCUGCCCAUGAAAGCACUUUUAAAAAGAGAGCACCUCUGCUGCCUGGUCAUAUUCUGUACCUGUUCCCAAACCCUGAAACCAGUGAUGUCAAUGGCUGCGUGGGCAUUGAACGUGUACAUGAUUCCUGCAGCUUUCCUGUUGACCUGGACCAUGUUCAUCAAUGCUUUUUGGUACAUUAAUUCUACAUCUUCUUCGGUGACCACAGUUUAUGUUUAUUUCAUUUUUCAGGAAUAUCCAGCCACUGGUGCACAGCCAUUGCCACUUGUGCCCCCAGGGGAUCUUGUCAACUCCAGUAUGUCCCCCCAGCACUGUGUUAUCUGGCAUAAUAAAUGUAGUUGGGCUGUAGUUGUAGUGACUCCUCCCAAAACAACCCAGGAGUUUAAUACUGUUUGGCCACCGGUUACAGACAUUGCUGCCCCUUCCGCUGCGGCUUUAAAAGCCUAUCUAAUCGGCUGGGUGUGAUGGUGGCUCAGACCUAUAAUCCCAGCACUUUGGGAGUCCAAGGUGGGUGGAUCACCUGAGGUCAGGAGUUUGAGACCGGCCUGGCCAACAUGGUGAAACCCCAUCUCUACUAAAAAUACAGCAAAUUAGCUGGGCGUGGUGGCGCAUGACUGUAAUCCCAGCUACUCGGGAGGCUGAGGUAGGAGAAUUGCUUGGGUGGCAGAGUAAGACUCCGUCCCAAAAAAAAAAGUUAUCUAAUCAGGGACGUCACCUUUCCCUGCCAGUCAUUUUGUUACCAAUGAAAGAAAACAUAUUCAAAUCAAUUUUUAGUUCAGAAAAUGUUUCUUUCAUUGUAUCUUUGAAUUUUAUUGUUCUGCAUUUUUUACUUCAAAAACACCUACUAUAUGCAUUUUUUCUCUCGUUUCCUUUUUUUUCCAAGAAAUGUUUUUGUCCUUUUGAUUUUUUCACUGACCAUUACCAUUAUUUAUAUACCAUGUACCUGGAGAGUUUCCAAUGUUUCUCUUUGGUCUGAGAUACUUGCUAUGAUUUUCACUUUUUAAAUGCUCUUUUGAGAUUUGUUUUGUGGCCUAAAAUGUGGUCUAUCCUGGAGAAUGUUCUGUGAGCUGAUGAGAAGAAUGCACGUUCUGCAGUUGGUGGGUGAAAUGUUCUGUAAUUACCUGUGAGGUCCCUUUGACUUCUCUUGGAGUCAGUCUGGUCUGUUACUUUUCUGCCUAGAGGGUGUGUCUGUUGCUGAAAGUGGGUGUUGGAGUCCCCAGCUAUUAUUGUCUGUCUCUGUCUGUUGCUCGAAUAACUCUUACUUUAAUAACUGGGGCUCCUGUGUCAGGUGUGUUUACAUUGACAACUGUCCUACCUUCUUGCUGAAUUGAUCUCUUUAUCGUUUUAUAAUGACCUUUAUUUUCUAUUUUUGUGCUUUUUUGACUUAAAGCCUACUUUGUGUGACAAGCAUAGCUAUACAUACUCACUUUUGGUAACACUUUUCAUUUCUUAUCAUCUUCAUUGAAUCUCACUUCUUCACAUUUACCAAAAUGUCUACUUUUGAGCUGUGGCACCUCUUUGAAUCUUCAGAUCCACCACAUGCUGAUCAAGCCUUCCUUUUUGUCUGUACUCUGAGGAAUCCCAAACAGGCAUUUUUGCAAGAAAGUCUAGGAGGGAAACAUAAAUCUAUGUGUCAAAAAAAUGAACAUAGAAAAUAAUGUGUCCUGGUUAACAAAAGUUCUCAUUGUAAAGUGUUAGGCACAAGACUAUGGAAUUUCAUGUGCCAUAAAUAAAAUUGUCUUGAUUUGUCUAAAACUACAUUUUGUCUAAAACUACUUUUAAAAAUUACAUGUUACUCUAAUA
rnacentral:lncRNA from 1 species